CCUACGGGGGGCAGCAGUGAGGAAUAUUGGUCAAUGGACGAGAGUCUGAACCAGCCAAGUAGCGUGAAGGAUGACUGCCCUAUGGGUUGUAAACUUCUUUUAUAAAGGAAUAAAACGGGGCACGUGUGCCUUUUUGCAUGUACUUUAUGAAUAAGGAUAGGCUAACUCCGUGCCAGCAGCCGCGGUAAUACGGAGGAUACGAGCGUUAUACGGAUUUAUUUGGGUUAAAAGGAGCCUAGAUGGGUUGUUAAGUGCGUUGUGAAAGUUGGGGGCUCAAACGUAAAAUUGCAAUUGAUACUGGCAGUCUUGAGUACAGUUGAGGUAGGCGGAAUUCGUGGUGUAGCGGUGAAAUGCUUAGAUAUCACGAAGAACCCCGAUUGCGAAGGCAGCUUACUAAACUGUGACUGACAUUGAUGCUCGAAAGUGUGGGUAUCAAACAGGAUUAGAUACCCCAGUAGUC
rnacentral:rRNA from 1 species